rnacentral:lncRNA from 1 species
AAGAGGCUACAUGAAGGGGAUUAUUUUGUUUGUCUUGAGGGAGUGGGUGAACUUGAGAAAAUGGAGACAAGAGAUGGAAAUCUUAGAGUUUUGUGUGGAUCACAGCUACAUAAACAGGGGAAAGGAAAAAGCCACAGUAGCAUUCUCCAGUGAGGAGGGGGAUCCUGCCGCGUCCUAGAAGACACCAUUGCACACUGCUGCACAGUCCACAUUAUCUGCUGUGGCUGCCGCACUAUCCAGUCUAUGGGGUCACUGUGCAGCCAAGGGGUUGGCUGAUACAAACAGGCCUGAGAGAUGAGGACUGAAAUAAGAAGCACAAGGAGUGGUCAGCACCCAAAAGCUGCCUAGUACUGUAUCAAAGGCAGGAAGAAAAGAAAGAAGCCUUCCUGUUGUCUGAGUGCUCCACCAGGAAAGCAGCCCAGCAAACAAGGAAGCGCAUCUGCCAGCGAGACAGUUGAAGCGGUGUUUUCUGCCAGAUCAGAAAUAGCUAGGAAUGAUUAGAUAGUAAGAGCUUAAGAACGACAGAACAAAUGCAGAGAAACAAGGAAUUACAGUACGCCGUGACCAGUGUUCUAGCAGGGCAAGCUCAUUCUGCUUACAGAAAAGAGAAUUCAAAAGGUUCCAGACUUCCUUGAGCAACUGAAACAGAGGGCUAAGGAGACAGCCAUGCAGAGCGCGUGGGAGGCAUGCCGGAGAGCUGAAACGGAGCCAUUGUAGACCCAAGGGAGAACACAAGGCCCUCACUGAUGGAUGGACCCAGUGCAGAGCUGAACACAGGACUGAAGAAACAUUUCACCCUGCGUUCCCCUUCUCUGGGAUCUUGCAAAUGCUCUCAGGUCUUUUCUCUAGUCCACAUGUGUGCUUGUUAUGUUUGAUGUGGAAUCAGGGGAUUUGAAACUAAUUACAGCUCUAACCUUGUGC